rnacentral:rRNA from 1 species
UACAGAGGAUGCAAGCGUUAUCCGGAAUGAUUGGGCGUAAAGCGUCUGUAGGUGGCUUUUUAAGUCCGCCGUCAAAUCCCAGGGCUCAACUCUGGACAGGCGGUGGAAACUACCAAGCUGGAGUACGGUAGGGGCAGAGGGAAUUUCCGGUGGAGCGGUGAAAUGCGCAGAGAUCGGAAAGAACACCCGUGGCGAAGGCGGCUCUCUGGGACGGUACUGACGCUGAGACGCGAAAGCGUGGGGAGCGAACAGG